rnacentral:rRNA from 1 species
AUGUGGAUCGUCAUCGAGGACUUCUUUGGCAAGAAGAUCGCUCUGGAGGUCAAUGCGUCAGAUACGAUCGACAGUGUGAAGGCCAAGAUUCAGGAGCAGGACGGCGCGCGUCCAGACGAUCAGCACCUCGUUUUUGCCUGCAAGGAGCUGGAGGACUGCCGCACCUUGGCGGAGUACAAAAUCCAAAAGGGCUCUACUCUCUACAUGCACGUCCUGGGAAAGUACAUCCACGUGGACGUGUCCGGCAACUUCGUCCGCGUCAGGUUGGAGGGCUCGGACACCGUCGCGGACGUGAAGGCGAAGAUUGAGGCCAGGGAGGGCGUCCCAGCAGCCAGGCAGGAGCUCUGGUCUGGAUUGAAGCGGCUGGAGGAGAACAGUCGCACCUUGGCUGACUACGGCGUCGAGAGGGACUCGUGCCUCUGUCUGAAGGUUUGUCCUACUCCCGGUGUUCACCAGUGA